AAACAGGAAAUCAUCCAAUUAGACUAACAGCUGCAGAGAUUGGAAUAAGCCUUACAUAUUUGAAAAUUAAAGAAAUGCAGCUAAGUACUAAGGAAAGGAGCUAAGACACCUACAGAUACUACUCCUGCAGCUUUUGGCACUGUGCAUCCCAUAACUGGACUUCAGGAGACGUCUCUUUUCUGAAGAGGUUGUUCCUUGAAGAAUCUCAGGCUGACAUCAGACUACCUAAUCCUCUCUUUUAUUAGUUAGAAGACUACUCUUAAGGCC